rnacentral:rRNA from 1 species
UAAGGAAUAUUGCUCAAUGGGAGAAAUCCUGAAGCAGCAACGCCGCGUGGAGGAUGAAGGGUCUAUGACUUGUAAACUCCUGUAAAGAAGGAAAAAAUUCCCAUUAGAUGGGAGAUGAUGGUACUUCUGGAGUAAGCCCCGGCUAACUACGUGCCAGCAGCCGCGGUAAUACGAAGGGGGCAAGCGUUGUCCGGAUUUACUGGGUGUAAAGGGUGCUCAGGCGGAUUUGUAAGUCAGAGGUGAAAUCUUACAGCUUAACUGUGAAACUGCCUUUGAUACUGCAAGCCUAGAGUAUGGAAGAAAGUGAUGUAAUAUCUGGUGUAGCAGUGAAAUGCGUAGAUAUCAGAUAGCACACCAAUGGCGAAGGCAGUCACUUAGUCCAUUACUGACGCUAAAGCACGAAAGCGUGGGUAGCAAACA